rnacentral:pre_miRNA from 1 species
UUUUAUGGAUGAGCAAAGAAAGUGGGUUCUUGAGUUGGAAUCUGUUCCUGGUGAAGAUGCUGUGAA